AAGAGUUUUGGAUAUGGCUCAGAUUGAACGCUGGCGGCAGGCCUAACACAUGCAAGUCGAACGGUAGCACAGAGGAGCUUGCUCCUUGGGUGACGAGUGGCGGACGGGUGAGUAAUGUCUGGGAAACUGCCCGAUGGAGGGGGAUAACUACUGGAAACGGUAGCUAAUACCGCAUAACGUCGCAAGACCAAAGAGGGGGACCUUCGGGCCUCUUGCCAUCGGAUGUGCCCAGAUGGGAUUAGCUAGUAGGUGGGGUAACGGCUCACCUAGGCGACGAUCCCUAGCUGGUCUGAGAGGAUGACCAGCCACACUGGAACUGAGACACGGUCCAGACUCCUACGGGAGGCAGCAGUGGGGAAUAUUGCACAAUGGGCGCAAGCCUGAUGCAGCCAUGCCGCGUGUAUGAAGAAGGCCUUCGGGUUGUAAAGUACUUUCAGCGAGGAGGAAGGCAUUAAGGUUAAUAACCUUGGUGAUUGACGUUACUCGCAGAAGAAGCACCGGCUAACUCCGUGCCAGCAGCCGCGGUAAUACGGAGGGUGCAAGCGUUAAUCGGAAUUACUGGGCGUAAAGCGCACGCAGGCGGUCUGUCAAGUCGGAUGUGAAAUCCCCGGGCUCAACCUGGGAACUGCAUUCGAAACUGGCAGGCUAGAGUACUGAGUGG
rnacentral:rRNA from 1 species